CCAGCACCCGCCCGGCGAGGCAGCGUGGGCAGUGACGUCAUCGUCAUCGUUAUCAUCGCCGUUAGGGCUGUCGAUGCUCGGGCGGGCGGACGUGCCACGGCGUCUGUCACACGGAAAUAAGCAGUGUCUUGGUGACCGCCUUGCUUCACCCUCUGGCGCUCGUGUCAGCUCAUCAACGCAGCUCACCCCGAUCUUGGCUAACGCAGAUGCUGCCCCCCUGGCCUGUUGGAGAUGCAUCCGGGGGCCUGGAAACUUCUUUGUGGUGGACCAGAGAAGCCUCCGGGCAGGCCGUACAGGGUCUGGGGCCCACCAGGGUCCCAUCAGACAGGAAGGCAACAGAGGCCUGGGGGAAAGUGAGUGGCAUCGUUGA
rnacentral:lncRNA from 1 species